rnacentral:misc_RNA from 1 species
UGGCUCUCGCAUCGAUGAAGAACGCAGCGAAUUGCGAUAAGUAAUGUGAAUUGCAGAAUUCAGUGAAUCAUCGAAUCUUUGAACGCACCUUGCGCUCUCUGGUAUUCCGGAGAGCAUGCCUGUUCGAGUGUCGUAACCCUCUCAAUCCAAAUGGUCUUUAUUGACUACGCUGGAUUGGAUUUGGGCUCUGCCGUGUUACAGCGGCUAGCCUCAAAAGUAUUAGCUGAAUCUAGUCGUAGACUGGUUUGACUCGGCGUGAUAAUUAUCUGACCGCUGAGGACAUCGCAAGAUGGCCAGACAAGACAAUGAAUCGCUUCUAAUCGUCGUUUAACGCGACAAUUUACCACACCUUUGACCUCGGAUCAGGUAGGACUACCCGCUGA